AGUGAACGCUGGCGGUAGGCCUAACACAUGCAAGUCGAACGGCAGCACAGUAAGAGCUUGCUCUUACGGGUGGCGAGUGGCGGACGGGUGAGGAAUACAUCGGAAUCUACUUUUUCGUGGGGGAUAACGUAGGGAAACUUACGCUAAUACCGCAUACGACCUACGGGUGAAAGCAGGGGAUCUUCGGACCUUGCGCGAUUGAAUGAGCCGAUGUCGGAUUAGCUAGUUGGCGGGGUAAAGGCCCACCAAGGCGACGAUCCGUAGCUGGUCUGAGAGGAUGAUCAGCCACACUGGAACUGAGACACGGUCCAGACUCCUACGGGAGGCAGCAGUGGGGAAUAUUGGACAAUGGGCGCAAGCCUGAUCCAGCCAUACCGCGUGGGUGGAAAAGGCCUUCGGGUUGUAAAGCCCUGUUGUUGGGAAAGAAAAGCAGCAGGUUAAUACCCCGCUGUUCUGACGGUACCCAAAGAAUAAGCACCGGCUAACUUCGUG
rnacentral:rRNA from 1 species